rnacentral:rRNA from 1 species
UCCCCUAGUAACGGCGAGUGAAGCGGGAAGAGCUCAAAUUUGAAAUCUGGCGGUCUCAGGCCGUCCGAGUUGUAAUCUAGAGAGGUGUUUUCCGUGCCGGACCGUGUACAAGUCCCUUGGAACAGGGCGUCAUAGAGGGUGAGAAUCCCGUCCAUGACACGGACUACCGGUGCUCUGUGAUACACCUUCAAAGAGUCGAGUUGUUUGGGAAUGCAGCUCAAAAUGGGUGGUAAAUUCCAUCUAAAGCUAAAUACAGGCGAGAGACCGAUAGCGAACAAGUACCGUGAGGGAAAGAUGAAAAGAACUUUGGAAAGAGAGUUAAACAGUACGUGAAAUUGUUGAAAGGGAAACGCUUGAAGUCAGUCGCGUCUGCCAGGACUCAGCCUUGCUUUUGCUUGGUGCACUUCUUGGUGGAUGGGCCAGCAUCGAUUUUGGCCGCCGGAAAAGGGCGGGAGGAAUGUGGCAGCUUUUGCUGUGUUAUAGCCUUCCGUCGUACACGGUGGUUGGGAUCGAGGACUGCAGCACGCCUUUGGUCGGGGUUCGCCCACGCCACGUGCUUAGGAUGCUGGCGUAAUGGCUUUAAACGACCCGUCUUGAAACACGGACCAAGGAGUCUAACAUGCCUGCGAGUGUUUGGGUGCAAAACCCAGGCGCGUAAUGAAAGUGAAAAGUUGGGACUCUUUAGUGAGGCACCGACGCCCGACCCUGAAGUCUUCUGACGGGUUUGAGGCAGAGCAUGUAUGUUGGGACCCGAAAGAUGGUGAACUAUGCCUGAAUAGGGUGAAGCCAGAGGAAACUCUGGUGGAGGCUCGUAGCGAUUCUGACGUGCAAAUCGAUCGUCAAAUUUGGGUAUAGGGGCGAAAGACUAAUCG